rnacentral:rRNA from 1 species
UACAGAGGCCUCGAGCGUUGUUCGGAAUUACUGGGCGUAAAGGGAAUGUAGGUGGUCAUGUAAGUCAGAUGUGAAAGCCCUGGGCUUAACCUGGGAAGUGCAUUUGAUACUGCUUGGCUGGAGUGCGAGAGAGGAAAGCGGAAUUCCAGGUGUAGGAGUGAAAUCCGUAGAUAUCUGGAGGAAUACCGAUGGCGAAGGCAGCUUUCUGGCUCGUAACUGACACUGAGAUUCGAAAGCAUGGGUAGCAAACAGG